rnacentral:rRNA from 1 species
CGGCGGACGGGUGAGUAACGCGUGGGUAACCUGCCUCAUACAGGGGGAUAACAGUUGGAAACGGCUGCUAAUACCGCAUAAGCGCACAGUACCGCAUGGUACAGUGUGAAAAACUCCGGUGGUAUGAGAUGGACCCGCGUCUGAUUAGCUAGUUGGUGGGGUAACGGCCUACCAAGCGACGAUCAGUAGCCGCCUGAGAGGGUGACGGCCACAUUGGGACUGAGACACGGCCCAA